ACACACAAAGAUCUGAAAUGAGACUCCUCGCUGAUGCUGUACAGCAAAUUCCUGUAAAGAAACUAAAUCACAGAAAACCUGUUACAAUACAAAACUCAUCACAUACUGGCUUGAACAGAUUUGCACAUUGGGGAAGCAAGGUGCAACGUACACUGUUGUAGCAAAAUUUUACUCAUGUAUGAAAUACUGGUGAAUCAUGACACAACAGAGUUAAUUUGAGAGUUCUUACACAGUAUUGACAACCUACAGUGGAGUUUUGGAAGGCUUAGGAAAACAAAGUAGUAAAAGUAAACCGUGUACACUGUGCUGAGAAACAAUAGUGGCAGCCGAUUAGGGACCAGUGUAAUUUUUUUUUUUUUUUUUUUUUGUAAUGCUCGUUUGCUAAAUGCUAGGUAUUUUACCGUGAAGUGCUCCCUGGUCUUAACCCACAGACACUGCGAGGAUCAGAGAGGGUAAAGUACAUUGGCUUACACUGAUCAUAAUGAGGUCCCGGACGCCCAUCCGCCCAGCCAAUAGCGCGAAGCCGGAACUGAAUAUACAUCAGUCAAGUACUACCGCUUGUCGCACGGAACGAGCAAACGACUAGAUUUUGAUAUGUGCAAGGAUAUUAACGUAGUGCAAAACCUUUAGUAGUAUUUAUUCGGCUCUUUACGUUAAAACUAGAGUGUACUAAACUAUGACCGUAUUCUAGUACCCUCUAGCUAAAACACAUGAAUUUAAAUUAAUAAAGCACGCGUCACGCCAGUUUCGGCGAGUACUUGCUGCCCUCAUACCGGUAACACCGGGGAGACGUCGCUCGUCUCGUCGCUCGCAUACGACUUAUCGCGUGCAUGCGGUUUAUAUUUACAAGCUGCGCAUGCUACAGUGUAACGUACCCAUGCAAGAACAAAAGGACACAAGAUAGGGCGAGUACAGUCUGGCUCAUGAUUGUGAGCAGAGUGUCCUCGCUGAAUGCACUCCCUUCGGUUGUUUCAUGCUACGUUAACCACAAAGACUAUAAAACACGCAGAACCCGCAUAUAAAAAUAAAGCUGACAAAAACCAACAAGGCAGUAGAGCCCAACCUUCAAUGUUAACACCUAAAAAAAUUCGGACAUUGUUGACGAAAAACAGAGUGCAAAGUAUUUCACUUACCUGAAAUAGUGCUAUCCAACGUGCGACGUACAAAGGCGCAUCGAGAACGAAGGUAGCGAACGCAGAUCCCGCCAUUGUGGUAGUAAGCCGUCGGCGAAAAAACGCAAUACAGCCGAUGUCACAAAGCACACUGAUGCAAAACUUAGGGGCACACGCCGCGACGGCGGCCGAACUGACGAUGUCACACACACAUUUAACGCAGAAAAAACAUGGGAUAGAGUAAGACGAACCCGUCAUGGAGACAGCUCCUUAUAUAGGCGGGCGUAGUUGCAAACAGCGCCCCCUGGGUGCGGAUUAUGUGGGUUUCAAAACCGAAACCGCUACAUCACACAAAACACAAGGCAAACAGCGUCGGCACAGCUAGUUGAUAUCAAAUAAAUGUAUAGAACAGCUUAGAACAGCACACAACUAGCACAAUGUACGAACCUACGAACGAGACAUUGCUUGCGUACGCCAGCGACCGUUUUUGCAGCGACCGGCAGCGCAGGCUGGUUAAAGUUGUCAGGUACAUUGAUGACUAAUCCUUUUCGAACCAGACGUACAUUCAACAGUAGAUAUGCUCAUCUAAUUUUUUUCAGCAGGCAUUAGCCCACUUACUCUCGCGGUGAAAGAGCCGACUGAUAACAUGCUGCAUAGCUUAGAUAUUCAGCUCAAGUUCACUGAAUAACACACAUGCUGGGAGUAUAAACCGAGGGCCAAAAAUAGCCUCCGUUGCUGUACUGCUCCGCUCACUCGAAGCUCGUCAAAAGGAGCAUUGUCAACUUGUGUUUUGGAAAUGCAUUAAAGAAAUCCUGCCACAAUAAGAUCUAUGCAUGUCUUAUGGACCUGUCGGGAAGGCUAUCGAUCGGUUCAUGGAGUCAGGGCAGGUCUCGGUUGUAGACGGGCUGCUAAAAAGAUGCUGUUUAUACAAUAACACUUGGCAUGCAGCAAAUCAACGGACAGAAAACUGGAGGAAGGUAGCGGCAGUUCCUUAUCUGCAUAGAAUGGCUAUCUGUCGGAAAUGUGAAAUGUGUGUUAAUGCCCCUUCAGUCGACUUGUUAGAUAAGAAGACGGCCUUUUUGUAUGGCUGAAUCGAGAUGAUGUGGUGCCAUUGUGCAUGGGUUAAAUAGGCAGCUGUUUCAUGGAAGUAAAGUUGUUGAAGUUAGCACAUUGUG